rnacentral:rRNA from 1 species
CAGCAGCCGCGGUAAUACCGGCGGCCCGAGUGGCGGCCACUAUUAUUGGGCUUAAAGCGUCCGUAGCCGGGUUGGUUAGUCUCCCGGGAAAUCUGGCCGCUUAACGGUCAGAAUUCCGGGAGAUACUGCCAGCCUAGGGACCGGGAGAGGCCGAGGGUAUUCCCGGAGUAGGGGUGAAAUCCUAUAAUCCCAGGAGGACCACCAGUGGCGAAGGCGCCCGGCUAGCACGCGCCCGACGGUGAGGGACGAAAGCUGGGGGAGCAAAGGGGAUUAGAUACCCCCGUAGUCCCAGCUGUAAACGAUGCAGGCUAGGUGUUAGGCGGGCUUCGUGCCCGCCUAGUGCCGUAGGGAAGCCGUUAAGCCUGCCGCCUGGGGAGUACGGCCGCAAGGCUGAAACUUAAAGGAAUUGGCGGG